rnacentral:siRNA from 1 species
AUGAUGUGAUUGUGUACUAGAUGA